AACGUAGGUGGCGAGCGUUAUCCGGAUUUACUGGGCGUAAAGGGUGUGCAGGCGGGCUGUUAAGUGGUGUAUGAAAUAUCCCGGCUCAACCGGGAAGGGUUAUGCCAGACUGGCAGUCUAGAGAGCGAGAGAGGGACGUGGAAUUCCGGGUGUAGUGGUGAAAUGCGUAGAGAUCCGGAGGAACCCCAGAGGCGAAGGCGGCGUCCUGGCUCGCAUCUGACGCUCAGACACGACAGCAUGGGGAGCGAACCGG
rnacentral:rRNA from 1 species